AUUGAACGCUGGCGGCAGGCCUAACACAUGCAAGUCGAAUGGUAACAGGAAACAGCUUGCUGUUUCGCUGACGAGUGGCGGACGGGUGAGUAAUGUCUGGGAAACUGCCUGAUGGAGGGGGAUAACUACUGGAAACGGUAGCUAAUACCGCAUAACGUCGCAAGACCAAAGAGGGGGACCUUCGGGCCUCUUGCCAUCAGAUGUGCCCAGAUGGGAUUAGCUAGUAGGUGGGGUAACGGCUCACCUAGGCGACGAUCCCUAGCUGGUCUCAGAGGAUGACCAGCCACACUGGAACUGAGACACGGUCCAGACUCCUACGGGAGGCAGCAGUGGGGAAUAUUGCACAAUGGGCGCAAGCCUGAUGCAGCCAUGCCGCGUGUAUGAAGAAGGCCUUCGGGUUGUAAAGUACUUUCAGCGGGGAGGAAGGGAGUAAAGUUAAUACCUUUGCUCAUUGACGUUACCCGCAGAAGAAGCACCGGCUAACUCCGUG
rnacentral:rRNA from 1 species